CUGGAGGUAUCAGAAGUGCGAAUGCUGACAUAAGUAACGAUAAAGCGGGUGAAAAGCCCGCUCGCCGGAAGACCAAGGGUUCCUGUCCAACGUUAAUCGGGGCAGGGUGAGUCGACCCCUAAGGCGAGGCCGAAAGGCGUAGUCGAUGGGAAACGGGUUAAUAUUCCCGUACUUGGUGUUACUGCGAAGGGGGGACGGAGAAGGCUAUGUUGGCCGGGCGACGGUUGUCCCGGUUUAAGCGUGUAGGUGUGUGUUCCAGGUAAAUCCGGUUCACUUUAACACUGAGGCGUGACGACGAGGCACUACGGUGCUGAAGCAACAAAUGCCCUGCUUCCAGGAAAAGCCUCUAAGCAUCAGGUAACAUCAAAUCGUACCCCAAACCGACACAGGUGGUCAGGUAGAGAAUACCAAGGCGCUUGAGAGAACUCGGGUGAAGGAACUAGGCAAAAUGGUGCCGUAACUUCGGGAGAAGGCACGCUGACACGUAGGUGAAGUGAUUUACUCAUGGAGCUGAAGUCAGUCGAAGAUACCAGCUGGCUGCAACUGUUUAUUAAAAACACAGCACUGUGCAAACACGAAAGUGGACGUAUACGGUGUGACGCCUGCCCGGUGCCGGAAGGUUAAUUGAUGGGGUCAGCGCAAGCGAAGCUCCUGAUCGAAGCCCCGGUAAACGGCGGCCGUAACUAUAACGGUCCUAAGGUAGCGAAAUUCCUUGUCGGGUAAGUUCCGACCUGCACGAAUGGCGUAAUGAUGGCCAGGCUGUCUCCACCCGAGACUCAGUGAAAUUGAACUCGCUGUGAAGAUGCAGUGUACCCGCGGCAAGACGGAAAGACCCCGUGAACCUUUACUAUAGCUUGACACUGAACAUUGAGCCUUGAUGUGUAGGAUAGGUGGGAGGCUUUGAAGUGUGGACGCCAGUCUGCAUGGAGCCGACCUUGAAAUACCACCCUUUAAUGUUUGAUGUUCUAACGUGGACCCGUUACCCGGGUUGCGGACAGUGUCUGGUGGGUAGUUUGACUGGGGCGGUCUCCUCCUAAAGAGUAACGGAGGAGCACGAAGGUUGGCUAAUCCUGGUCGGACAUCAGGAGGUUAGUGCAAUGGCAUAAGCCAGCUUGACUGCGAGCGUGACGGCGCGAGCAGGUGCGAAAGCAGGUCAUAGUGAUCCGGUGGUUCUGAAUGGAAGGGCCAUCGCUCAACGGAUAAAAGGUACUCCGGGGAUAACAGGCUGAUACCGCCCAAGAGUUCAUAUCGACGGCGGUGUUUGGCACCUCGAUGUCGGCUCAUCACAUCCUGGGGCUGAAGUAGGUCCCAAGGGUAUGGCUGUUCGCCAUUUAAAGUGGUACGCGAGCUGGGUUUAGAACGUCGUGAGACAGUUCGGUCCCUAUCUGCCGUGGGCGCUGGAGAACUGAGGGGGGCUGCUCCUAGUACGAGAGGACCGGAGUGGACGCAUCAC
rnacentral:rRNA from 1 species